rnacentral:rRNA from 1 species
AACGAACGCUGGCGGCAUGCCUAACACAUGCAAUUCUAACGAGAUCCUUCGUCUUCUAUUUGCUCACGUGUUCGUAACGCUUUGUUAUCUGCCCUUAUUUUCGGAAUAUCAUUUAGAAAUGACUGCUAAUACCGUAUUAUUACGUUAAGUCCAAAGAUUUAUCGCCUGAGGAUGAGCCCGCGUAGGAUUAGCUAGUUUGUUUGGUAAAGGCGCACCAAGGCGACGAUCCUUAGCUGGUCUGAGAGGAUGAUCAGCCACACUGGGACUGAGACACGGACCAGAAUGGUACGGGAGGAAGGAGUGGGGAAUAUAGGACAAGGGGAGAAAGGAUGAUCCAGCAAUGCGGGGUGAGUGAUGAAGGCCGUAGGGUAGUAAAGCUCUUUUACAAGGGAUGAUAAUGACAGUAAAGGGAGAAUAAGCAACGGAUAAGUACGUG